UCAUUAUGAUGAUUUUUUUUAUAACCUGAAUGUCUCUGUUGAUUCAAAAACGAGCUUUUUAAUACUGACUUUU
rfam:Tribolium castaneum strain Georgia GA2 linkage group LG5, whole genome shotgun sequence.